rnacentral:rRNA from 1 species
CUUUACUCGUUGAACCCAGCUCGUUCCUCUCCUCGUCUUCUCUGCUAUCCCAAGAACAGAACCAGCCACCCACCUCUCUCUCUCUCCCCAAGAACAGAGCAUGGCCGCCGCAGCCUCGAUCUGCCCCGUCCGGGCAUCUCCGGCGACACGGUGAACACCUACAGAUUCUCCUCGUCCCCCUCUACCAUUUCCCCCUAUUUAUUUUAUCCGCCGCCGCCAAAAACGUCGCCACCACUCAAUCCUAGCGCUGCCUGAUUCAGGUCCGGUGGGCUUGCCACCGGCUGCAGCGGCAACGACGUCUCCAUGCCUACAUCCUCCCCCAGCGCAGCCACACGCACGAGGCAUGCAGCCACGGGCGUCGGGCGUGUGCGGCUUCACCGGCGCUGCUCGGUCGCAUGGCUCUGCUGCUAACGGUGUGGAACUAGCCACAUCCUACUGCUACUACUGCAAGAUAAAUAGACCAAGGUGAAUAGAUGCCCAUGGACUGAUUCAAACCAAGGUGAGGAUAGACAAGAAGUCAAGCAAGAAGGGCUAACACAACAAGGUACUUGAUUAGUACCUGAUGGCGCAUGCAACCCAAAGGGCUUCACCGCAGUGAAGGACAGCAGUGUGGCAGAAGGUGAAAAGGCAAGUGGUGGUGGUACUCCAGUGUAUGUGUGUGUGUGAGGUGGAAUGGACCACAGUGAAAGGAAUGGCUCCUAUUUAUAGUGGGGUUAGUAGCUAUUUCGGUUUGGAGAGGCAUUACAUCUGGCAUGCAUGCGUGGUUAGGCUUGCAUGCAUGCCUCCACUUGUGUCUCUUGUAGGCUGUACUAGGGACAAGUGUAAUUUGCUUGACUGGCCAUUAGUUGGCAUUUACUUUAUGUGGAAAAAAAUGAGACCAAGAUCUGAUUAUAAAUUUGUAGAAUAUAUGGAGGUUUGGAAAAUAUUUUGUUGUGCAUGGUCAAAUGCUAUUUGCUAUAAUAAAAAUUAA